AAAAAGGCUCUUUUCAGAGCCACCCACAAUAGUCAAAAAGGGCUG
rfam:Tyto alba contig165762, whole genome shotgun sequence.